rnacentral:rRNA from 1 species
CCUGAUGACCAUAGUAAAUCGGUACCACCCCUUCCCAUCCCGAACAGGACCGUGAAACGAUUUUACGCCGAUGAUAGUGCUGCAACCAGUGUGAAAGUA